UAACCCAGGAGCUACAAGUGGCAACCGCAUUUAUUGGGCCUAAAGAGUCCGUAGCCGGUCUUGUAAAUUUUCUGUGAAAUCGUUGCGCUUAACGUAACGGCGUGCAGAAAACACUGCAAGACUUGGGACCGGGAGGAGUUAGAGGUAUUUUAGGGGGAGCGGUAAAAUGCUAUAAUCCCUGAAGGACCACCUGUGGCGAAGGCGUCUAACUAGAACGGGUCCGACGGUGAGGGACGAAAGCUAGGGGAUCAAUCCGGAUUAGAUACCCGAGUAGUCCUAGCUGUAAACUCUGCGAGCUAAGUGUUACAUAUUCUUCGGGAAUAUGUAGUGUCGUAGCGAAGGUGUUAAGCUCGCCGCCUGGGAAGUACGGUCGCAAGGCUG
rnacentral:rRNA from 1 species